AUACAUCAGCACAAGCUAUUGCAUUGCUUUGCUCAACUGAAAAGAAGACCUGAAGUUCUUCUGGGAUUAGCAGAGCCAGUGAAAUUUCAUUUCACCUUAACUUGUGGAACCCAAGUGGAUCCUGUGAUGUCUGAUGAAUAAGAUCAGUGCUCUAUGCUCCCAUUAGAACCAAACUGGGAAGCUUUCAUCACCAAAUGACACCUACCCAACUCCACCGUCUUCCCACGACAGUUGAGGGCAGUGGCCAAGUGCAAGGAAAUUCCAGGACUGCUCGGAGGCGUAUCUCAGAGAGCUCAUGUUUUAACAGGCUGCCCUUGAGAUAAUGACUCCAGGAAGCACAACUGGUGUCCUGGAAAGGCUUCUCCACUCCAAAACCUGCUUGCAGUCCUACUGUGGAUCCCACUGUGAAGGCAUUGCAACAUUGGUGUUGCUUUAUCCCACUGAAAUUCAGAGAAGCUGUGGGUGCCCCAUCCCUGGAGGUAUUCAAGGCCAGGUGGGAUGGGGCCCUGGGCAGCCUAAUCUAGUGACUGAUUUAGUAGUUGGCAUCCCUGUCAAAUGGCAGGGGGUUGGAACUAGAUGAUCUUUGAGGUCCCUUCCAAUCCAAGCCAUUCCAUGAUCCUGUGAAGUCAUUGUUAUGUUCAUGCAGCCUCCAGAGCAGGGAAGAGUGGGCCUUGGGGACAAAAUAAGGACUCUUCUUGCUUAGGGAUGCUGAAAACUGGGAUGAAUGCUGAAGGAGAGAGUAGAGCGGAGCCCUGUAUGCAGACUGUUCCAAAGUCAGACCCUAUAACUUGCUAUGGGAUGCUACAGAAACCCCUGUGAUUAGUGGCCAGGGGACAGGAGUGCAAGAGGUGGGGUGGAACAUUGCUUCUGCUUGCUCCAUCAGACAAACUCCCAUUGGAAUGUAAAUGUUUGGAAAGUCUCAGCAGCUGAGCAUCUUCUCAGGACAUCUCAGUAUCUCGAAACCUCUGUGUUAUUUGAGCCUGGGCUAUUUUUGAACCAGUUGGGCUGUCUGAGUUAAUUCCAAGCUUGCACAAGCAGCUGUCGUGGGAAAACAGAGAGGUUGAGAUGAAAGACCCGAGGCUGUGGCUGCCUCAUUGCUGCUGCUGCUGGGAACAGCUCUGUGCCAUCGCAGCCUCUUCAGCUCCCACCACUCCCAGCCCUUCCACAAACCUCCAGACAAAGCUCCUUUAUUGCAAGGCCAGAGCAGGGAGGGGAAACACAGGGCCGUGAAAGCUGCAGCUAUAUUAAGCCAUGGAAAACCACAAGAAUAAGUGCCUGUAAUCCCAGCCACACUGAACCUGUCUGCUGACUUCCUCUCCAAACCCAAUCUCAAACCUGACCCAGGUGGGAAAAUGCCUGUGGUUGUGACCAUCCCCCUCUGAAAACACAAAGCCAGGCAUUUAUCUGAGCGGUUGAUUGCAAAGCUCUGCACUGCAAUUUGCUCCGCUCUGCAAAAUAACAAAGCCAAGACGCUGCAGGUAACAGCCAGGCCAAGAAGUCUGCGAGUUUCAUUCCCUACAAGUGAGUUUUGGCACAGUAGCUACUUCACACCCAAUUAAUUACUUCAGCACCAGAUUAUACUUGCAGGCUCCAAUAGGAGUGAUAAUAGGAACCAAUUAAAUUAAUUUAUAUUUACUUUGUAAGCAUAUUUUCCUUUGGUAAAUCUUUGCUUUAAUUUGACAGAUUGGACUCCAGUAUUUUGUUUUUGUUACGAGAUAUGGUCCUAAAUCCAGGGGAACAAAUCCAAACCUGUAAAGCCAAGAAGUCUUUCCCUUUCAGGUUUAAAAACAUGUAGGACAGGGAUUUAAAAAAAAAAAAAAAAAAAAAAAAAAGAAGUAAUAAAAUGUAUGCACGUGCCCA
ensembl:lncRNA